CUUUACACAUGCAAGUCGUGCGGUCAAAAUGAGGGGGCCCUUCCAGACGAGCGGCGGACGGGUGAGUAAUGCAUGGGAAUGCGCCCGAUAGUGGGGGACAACCCUGGGAAACCAGGGCUAAUACCGCAUGUUUUCCACGGAACAAAGCGGGGGAUCUUUUCGGAGACCUCGCGCUAUCGGAGCAGCCCAUGUCCGAUUAGCUUGUUGGCGGGGUAACGGCCCACCAAGGCGACGAUCGGUAGCUGGUCUGAGAGGAUGAUCAGCAACACCGGGACUGAGACACGGCCCGGACUCCUACGGGAGGCAGCAGUGGGGAAUAUUGGACAAUGGGGGCAACCCUGAUCCAGCGAUGCCGCGUGAGUGAAGAAGGCUUUCGGGUUGUAAAGCUCUUUCGCAGGGGAAGAAAAAACGCGGAGUAAUACGCCGCUUCCAUGACGGUACCCUGAUAAGAAGCACCGGCUAACUUCGUGCCAGCAGCCGCGGUAAUACGGGGGGUGCAAGCGUUAAUCGGAAUUACUGGGCGUAAACGUGCGUUAGGCGGCCGUCCAAGUCAGAUGUGAAAGCCCCGGGCUCAACCCGGGAACUGCGUUUGAAACUGGAGGGCUUGAGUUCGGCAGAGGAAGGUGGAAUUCCGCGUGUAGCUGGGAAAUGCGUAGAGAUGCGGAAGAACACUAAUGGCGAAGGCAUCCUUCUGGGCCGACACUGACGCUGAGUCACGAAAGCGUGGGGAGCAAACAGGAUUAGAUACCCUGGUAGUCCACGCCCUAAACGAUGCCCGCUAGCUGUCGGAGGUUCCAAUUUAUUGGUCUUUCGGUAGCGAAGCUAACGCGUUAAGCGGGCCGCCUGGGGAAUACGGUCGCAAGAUUAAAACUCAAAGGAAUUGACGGGGACCCGCACAAGCGGUGGAUGAUGUGGUUUAAUUCGAUGCAACGCGAAAAACCUUACCCGCUCUUGACAUGUCCGGAAUCCCNNNGAGAC
rnacentral:rRNA from 1 species